rnacentral:rRNA from 1 species
UACAGAGGUCCCGAGCGUUGUUCGGAUUCAUUGGGCGUAAAGGGUGCGUAGGCGGCGCGGUAAGUCGGGUGUGAAAUCUCGGAGCUUAACUCCGAAACUGCAUUCGAUACUGCCGUGCUUGAGGACUGGAGAGGAGACUGGAAUUUACGGUGUAGCGGUGAAAUGCGUAGAUAUCGUAAGGAAGACCAGUGGCGAAGGCGGGUCUCUGGACAGUUCCUGACGCUGAGACGCGAAAGCGUGGGGAGCGAACAGG